AAUUUUCAGAAGGUUCACAUUAUUUUUCUAGUUAUAGACUUAUAGUUAUAAUUGUAAUGAAAGGUGAUUGGAUCAAAGCAGCAAUAAUCAUCUUAGCUAUGAGAUUGUGUAGACAACAUAACAUAGUUUGAAUUCUUUUAACCAUCCUUGAACUUUUGUUCAAGCCUAGUGACUUAUUUCAGUGCAUGAAAAUCGUCCCACCUUUCAUCCUGUCCUGACAAACUGGGAUCAUGUAAACAGCACAUUUAACCAUUAAGUUGAUUUGCACCCUAAUUUCUGAUUGUGAAGCGUAAAAUUGUCUGACGUUGGACAGUAAAAUACUCAAGUAGAGCAUGCAUCAGGUUUAAUUUUUAUAUCUGAAUUAAUUAUUGAUUUUUUGCUUUGUUUUACAGAUCAUUACUGAACAUGCUGAUGAAUUGUGACUAUAUUAAAUGGAUACAAAGCGACUGUGAUGGAUAAAUAUGGCCCCGUAAUGGAUAUUCAGUUGAUGGAUAUACAAAGGUCACAGAAAUGUCUACUUUCAGGUACUGUUCUUUCUUGUUUGCCUGCGAACAGGCUGUAGAUACUUGUAUCCAGGCCAUCCAUUAUUUGUUUUGUUGUUCUGGGUACAAUGAAAUCCGGCAUAAAUCCUGGCGGUCUAAAUGUUCAGUAUAUUUACACAUUCGAUCUAUUUUCUGUUCAGUAGACUUUGAUAGCCUGAACGAAAGUUUUAUAACGAUGAUUUUCUUUGCAAAAACUGUACUUUCAAAAUUCAUCAGCUUCUGAAUUUGAAAAAGGAUCUGAAAAGAGAGAACAUUUGAGUGUAUGGUUAUUGCAUGGUUCUAAUGAUUCGUUUAUGUUACCAUUGUUUCCCUUUGUGUAAAUAUACUGCCUUGGUGCAAACGCAUUA
rnacentral:lncRNA from 1 species